AUUGAGCGCUGGCGGCAGGCCUAACACAUGCAAGUCGAACGGUAACAGGAAGCAGCUUGCUGCUUCGCUGACGAGUGGCGGACGGGUGAGUAAUGUCUGGGAAACUGCCUGAUGGAGGGGGAUAACUACUGGAAACGGUAGCUAAUACCGCAUAACGUCGCAAGACCAAAGAGGGGGACCUUAGGGCCUCUUGCCAUCGGAUGUGCCCAGAUGGGAUUAGCUAGUAGGUGGGGUAACGGCUCACCUAGGCGACGAUCCCUAGCUGGUCUGAGAGGAUGACCAGCCACACUGGAACUGAGACACGGUCCAGGCUCCUACGGGAGGCAGCAGUGGGGAAUAUUGCACAAUGGGCGCAAGCCUGAUGCAGCCAUGCCGCGUGUAUGAAGAAGGCCUUCGGGUUGUAAAGUACUUUCAGCGGGGAGGAAGGGAGUAAAGUUAAUACCUUUGCUCAUUGACGUUACCCGCAGAAGAAGCACCGGCUAACUCCGUG
rnacentral:rRNA from 1 species